AUGCUUAAUUGAGGGCGUGGCCGCUUAUAGUGACAGGUGGGUCCUGUAUCAGUCCACUAGCUUCCUGCCCGGCGUCACCUCAGCUCGCAGUGUUUCUAUCGUUGGUGCCUUUUGGGUGAUUUUGAACGGAAAUAUCGGACAAAUGAUAUGCCUUACUGCGGGUAAUUGACAGAACAUGAGGAAGUCUGUGCUCCUGUUUUUCGAGCCGGGAGUUAGAUGGAGUCAGGCACUGUCAAGAUGGCGACAGUGGAGCAGUCCACUCUAAGCUUCAAAACCAUUCUUCAGAAACCUAUGGUUAAUGUGACGGAGGCUACACCCAUCUGUACAGUCUAUGACAGGAGGAAAAGGCCAGAGGUCAGGUUGAGGGGGUUCCUGUGUCAUGGAGGUCGUGGGGAAAAGGUGGACACCCCCUUGUAUUGGAUAUUCUACAGACAAUCCCCCAAAAACAGUCCAAAUUCCUCCACUGCAUUGUGCCCCAUAUUCUUCAGGCAGCUGAGUGGGUGUUGUAGACUACAUGAGCACUCUGCUGAGGUGGAUCCCACCCUUUUUACCACCCACACAUAUGCUACUAGAGCAAUAAAGGACAAUGGAGGGUACUUGAAGUUAAGAUGGGAGAUGACUUGGGGAGCUGGCUAUUGUUGGUGUUAAGCAUUGUUACCCCAACAAUGUUCCUGCUGAGGAAAAGAUCUCCCAGUUUUAAUGAAGGAACAGAAGAGAAGAAGAGAAGACGGGGACCUCAUCUGAAUUUUAUGGGACCAAUGUUUUUUCUUUCUUUCUUUUUGGCUGGGAUGAAAUAUUCCCAACAUAGCAGACUGAGGGUUUCUCCACUGUGUAAUUAUGGGAUGUGAAGUUACAGGAUCUUAAGGCUGUGAUCAUUGCUCUGUCGACAAAAGAACAUCAAAUCACAUUGGUGAAGCUUAAAGUUAGCUCAAACAUGCCUCUUUGUGAAUAUG